UGUCAGGUCACUCUAGAUCACAGUCCCUCAAACAAAGGGGGAAGCAACAUUUGCAAAGGGCGAACAGGAGGAUGCUGAUGUCGACGUUGGAGGGAGUGGCUGGAGCUAACGGUGGAGCAGCAGAAGCAGCAAUAUCGAUCAUGGAAGAAGAUUCCUCAUUUGCAUUUGUGGAAACCUGCAUUUAUAUAUUCCAUGUAUGAUACAAUUUGUGUUAGGACUGAAACAGUAAUUCCAAAGGCUUUUUUCUUUCUUUUUUUCUUUCUUUCAUUCCUUUUUUUUUUUUAA